ensembl:lncRNA
GCCAUGAACACCAGUGGGCCACUUGCAUUAGGUUGUUAUCUUAAAAAUAUGCAGAUGGUACAGUUUACAUUAACCUCGAGAUGUCAACCUUUUCUGCUCUCUGUUCCAAAAAGAAUCAGUGCUGUCUUCAAGAUGUUUACACAUCCACUUCUCUUGCCCUUUAGGGACAAUUUCUUCUGUUUCUGGACAGACAUGAUAACCUGAAAAGCAGAGCUAGAAGAACCUCUAUGCACUUCAGUGGAUACAGCAAUUAUGUUAUUAGUUACAAAGAUGAUUUCUUCAACGUUGUAUCAGGUAAAGUGUUUCAUUAAGAAAGGAUGAAAUGCAGCAGCCAAGGACAUUUUCUUGAUCAAGAACCCUCAGAGUUCAGUAGGGAUUUGAAGAGCACCAGAGCUGAGUGAGUUGGAUUGGGAUAUGAAACAUCUCCAGAUAGACUGUGUAGCCAUCUGAGGAUUGUGAGCUGGAUGCAGCUGCUAGCCCAGAACUUGUGCUGCUCGCAUCAUAUCACCAGCAAAUAGCUGGACUGACCUAGAAGACUCUGAAAGAGAAGUUGAGCUAAUAAAACAUCUAUGUUCCAGCCCACUGGAAGCAUGCCCAGCUCAUUUGUGUCCUGAAAAGAAGCAGCAGGGGCUCAAUCAAAGUCAUUUUCACAUCUUGCCUGCAAGGUGCCCCCACAGCUCUUCCUCCCUGUUUUUCCUUCAGGAAAGUAGCCACCUGUCUGGAGACAAGGAAGAAUAGGCAAUUUAAGAAUGAAGUUCACAGGAGGCUGGUUAGCCUUAAUUAGUACUGAAGGGCUCAAAAAAUGGUUGAAACAGGUUGCAAACCAGGAAAUCUUGUUGAUAAACUAAUCCGAUUUUCAUUGCAGAGAUUCUCCAUAGUGAGCUUUAGCACAGACA